AGUGAACGCUGGCGGUAGGCCUAACACAUGCAAGUCGAACGGUGGCACAGUAAGAGCUUGCUGGUACGGUUGGCGAGUGGCGGAUGGGUGAGGAAUAAAUCGGACUCUACUUUUGCGUGGGGGAUAACGUCGGGAAAUAUAAGCUAAUACCGCAUACGACCUACGGGUGUAAGCAGGGGAUGUUCGUAUCUUGCGCGAUUGAAUGACCCGAUGUCGGAUUAGUUAGUUGGCGGGGUAAAGGCCCACCAAGGCGACGAACCGUAGCUGGUAUGAGAGGAUGAGCAGCCACACUGGAAGUGAGACACGGUCCAGAGUGCUACGGGAGGGAGCAGUGGGGAAUAUUGGAGAAUGGGCGCAAACCUGAGCCAGCCGUACCGCGGGGUGGAAGAGGGCCUUCGGGUUGGAGAGCCCUUCUGUUGGGAUAGAAAAGCAGCAGGUUAGUAACCCGGUGUUCUGACGGUUACCAAAGGAUGAGCACCGGCUAACUUCGUG
rnacentral:rRNA from 1 species